UAAGUUAAUACCUUAUAACCGUGAUGUUACCUGCAGAAUAAGCACCGGCUAAUUCCGUGCCAGCAGCCGCGGUAAUACGGAAGGUGCAAGCGUUAAUCGGAAUUACUGGGCGUAAAGCGCGCGUAGGUGGUUUGUUAAGUUGGAUGUGAAAGCCCUGGGCUCAACCUAGGAACUGCAUCCAAAACUAACUCACUAGAGUACGAUAGAGGGAGGUAGAAUUCAUAGUGUAGCGGUGGAAUGCGUAGAUAUUAUGAAGAAUACCAGUGGCGAAGGCGGCCUCCUGGAUCUGUACUGACACUGAGGUGCGAAAGCGUGGGUAGCGAACAGGAUUAGAUACCCUGGUAGUCCACGCCGUAAACGAUGACAACUAGCUGUUGGAAGACAAUGUCUUUCAGUGGCGCAGCUAACGUUUUAAGUUGUCCGCCUGGGGAGUACGGCCGCAAGGCUAAA
rnacentral:rRNA from 1 species